rnacentral:rRNA from 1 species
ACGGAGGGGGCGAGCGUUAUUCGGAAUUAUUGGGCGUAAAGGGCGCGUAGGCGGCUUGAUAAGUCAAAGGUGAAAUCCCUCGGCUCAACUGAGGAACUGCCUUUGAAACUGUCAGACUUGAGGCCGGGAGGGGGUAGCGGAAUUCCCAGUGUAGCGGUGAAAUACGUAGAUAUUGGGAGGAACACCGGUGGCGAAGGCGGCUACCUGGACCGGUUCUGACGCUGAUGCGCGAAAGCCAGGGGAGCAAACGGGA